GAAAUGCGAUAAGUAAUGUGAAUUGCAGAAUUCAGUGAAUCAUCGAAUCUUUGAACGCACAUUGCGCCCGCCAGCACUCUGGCGGGCAUGCCUGUUCGAGCGUCAUUUCAACCCUCAGAACCCCUUGCAGGAUCUGGCGUUGGGGAUUGGCAUCCAGCCAGCUCCGAAAUCUAGUGGCGGUCCCUCCGCGACCUCCCCUGUGCAGUAGCGAUACCUCGCAGCGGGACAGCGGUCUGACCACGCCGUAAAACCCCCAACUUCUCAAGGUUGACCUCGAAUCAGGUAGGAAUACCCGCUGAACUUAAGC
rnacentral:misc_RNA from 1 species